AGGCAGCCUCUCUUCCUAACAGUCAUUACAACACCCAUCAGCAGAAGAAAUCUAAAUCCCCUGUCAUUUCUCCUCAACCUCAGAGCAACCUGGGUUCAAGUCCCUGGGUCAUCAGAUUUUUGUUUGUGAGGAAUCUCCCAGAAAGAAGCUUGCUGCCUCUUCACUGCCAUGCCAUGAUCUUGGUGUUCACUUUGAUGCUUGAGGUGUUCCUGUUCCUGAGAGGAACCAGAGCCCAGUCAGUGACCCAGCCUGACAGCCUCAUCACUGUCCCUGAAGGAGACCCUCUGGAGCUGAGGUGCAACUACUCAUCUUCUUUUUCAACCUAUCUCUUCUGGUAUGUGCAGUACCCCAACCAAGGACUCCAGCUUCUCCUGAAGUAUGUAUCAGGGAACCCCCUGGUUAAAGGCACCAAAGGUUUUGAGGCUGAAUUCAGGAAGAAUGAAACCUCCUUCCACCUGAGGAAAACAUCAGUCCAUUUGAGUGACUCAGCCAAGUACUUCUGUGCUCUGAGUGACACAGUGACUGAGACUGCAGGGGGAGCUGAACACAAACACACUGAGACACAGCAGCUUAAAAGACCCAGCAUCUCAGCCUGCGUUAUUUGCAGGAAGUUAGUGUGUUAUUUGAUGGCAAACAGCACAGACAAUACAGAGUUCUGGAGGUGUUUUGCUCCUAUGGGUGUACAACAGUCUUCAUAA